rnacentral:rRNA from 1 species
GACGAACGCUGGCGGCGUGCCUAAUACAUGCAAGUAGAACGCACAGUUUAUACCGUAGCUUGCUACACCAUAAACUGUGAGUUGCGAACGGGUGAGUAACGCGUAGGUAACCUGCCUGGUAGCGGGGGAUAACUAUUGGAAACGAUAGCUAAUACCGCAUAAUAUUAAUUAUUGCAUGAUAAUUGAUUGAAAGAUGCAAUUGCAUCACUACCAGAUGGACCUGCGUUGUAUUAGCUAGUAGGUGAGGUAACGGCUCACCUAGGCGACGAUACAUAGCCGACCUGAGAGGGUGAUCGGCCACACUGGGACUGAGACACGGCCCAGACUCCUACGGGAGGCAGCAGUAGGGAAUCUUCGGCAAUGGACGAAAGUCUGACCGGGCAACGCCGCGUGAGUGAAGAAGGUUUUCGGAUCGGAAAGCUCUGUUGUAAGAGAAGAACGGGUGUGAGAGUGGAAAGUUCACACUGUGACGGUAUCUUACCAGAAAGGGACGGCUAACUACGUG